UCGGUCUGCGCAUCCAGCGCGCAUGUGUUCCCCUUCCCCUUUCGCCCUUGAGCAGCCUUUCCUCUCCUCCUCUGCUGAGCGGUUCUCCCUCUCAGUCUCUCUGUGUUUGUGUCUUGCAUCCGUAGGUGGGCGCUAAAAUUUCUUCUGGUCACUAGUCAAAGUUGUCCAAAACACCUAUCGUUGAGGAAAUUCAGCCCCUUCAAAGUCUGCCGAGUUCAACUUGUACGCCCCCUUGUACAAGUGUCUCAUUCCCAUUCGACCCGCGACAGUUCAGAUGGUGUACCGAUACAUGUAACAUGAACUGGAGGGAACAAGACCCACUACUCAGAAGCUUCUAGUAGUGUGAGUUGUGCAGCCCUUCCCGGCGUUGGGAUCGAAAGAUGUUCCUGGGGAAAACGAGAUCCUGGCUGGAAAAACUGAAAGGACUUUGUGGCAAACGUGCAGAUGCUAAAUGGAACAGAUUGUCAGCUGCGUGGAGCAAAAGGUCAAUCAGAGGCUUGCAGUCGUCCCAGCCGCUUCAGUGAUAUUUCAAAGUUCGUCUCGCUUGUUACAACGUUGGGAGAGAAGGAUGAUGGUCUUCAGAUGGUCCCGCAAGUAGGAAAGGGCAGGAGUGAGGUCAGGUGA